GACGAACGCUGGCGGCGUGCUUAACACAUGCAAGUCGAACGGAAAGGCCCUGCUUGCAGGGUACUCGAGUGGCGAACGGGUGAGUAACACGUGGGUGAUCUGCCCUGCACUUCGGGAUAAGCUUGGGAAACUGGGUCUAAUACCGGAUAGGAACCAUCUUUAGUGUGGUGGUUGGAAAGUUUUUUCGGUGUAGGAUGAGCUUGCGGCCUAUCAGCUUGUUGGUGGGGUAAUGGCCUACCAAGGCGGCGACGGGUAGCCGGCCUGAGAGGGUGUACGGCCACAUUGGGACUGGGAUACGGCCCAGACUCCUACGGGAGGCAGCAGUGGGGAAUAUUGCACAAUGGGCGCAAGCCUGAUGCAGCGACGCCGCGUGGGGGAUGAAGGCCUUCGGGUUGUAAACUCCUUUCGCUAGGGACGAAGCUUUGUUGUGACGGUACCUAGAUAAGAAGCACCGGCUAACUACGUG
rnacentral:rRNA from 1 species